rnacentral:tRNA from 1 species
GUAGUAAGAGUAUGAAUAAGUAUGUUUGCCUUCCAAGCAAGAGGUCCUUUUAGGUUACUAUU